CUCGGGCCAGCAAUAGCCACUGAGCAGAACACAGGGCAUCAGGAUGAGGACAACAGACAUACAGAAUCUCUACUAACCCCAGGCCAGGUGACAAGGGGACCUGGGGCUGCAGGGGGAGGGAAGCAAGGCUGUCAACGGUAGAAUCAACAAUGAGGCGCAGACCACGGUUGGGUCCAGGCUCCUGUGUUGAAAUCCCAGCUUCCCUACUCGAUGAUUCUGAGGGUCAGGGUGACUUUCUAAUGCCCAUUUAGCUCAAUGCCUGGCAGAAGGUAGAUGUUAGUUAUUGCUGUUGCUGCUAUGACUAAUGACACUCUGAGAGAGGGGGAAGAAACAGUGUAGGAGUUGCCUUUGGGCUGGGUCUUGAAGGCAGAAAGGAUUCCAGCAGGUGGUGACAGAUAGAAAGCAGAGAGGUAUAAAUGCAAGACAACUGAGAUGGAGAAUUCCCUGAGGCCAGGCCUUAGGAGUGGCACUGGGUACAAUCGUCAGAUUGCAAACAUGAAGAUGUCACACAUGCAGGGCACUGCCCCUGCUGCUGAGCAUGUCCCCCAACUGAUGUUCACAGACACCUGGAAAUGCGGCUGAGGGGAAAAGCUCAGAGGCCUGUUCCUUCGUCCAAUAAAUAUUUAACAAGCUUCUGCUGUCUAGGCCCUCGGAGCAGUGAACUGAGAAGCAGGCAGUAUUGAGUAAAUAUAUAAAGAAGGCCACUUCACACAGCGACGAAACCACACCCUUCGUGACAGGCCCCCAGGGCAGUACAGAGAAAGAACAAGGCGAUGAAAGGGGAAGACUUUUCCUGGAUUUUACAGUUCAGACGCCAGGCACGGAAAAACUGCCAGGUGCCAGCUGUGCGUGAGAGGCAGACUCGGAGCCCCAUCACAUUCCCAGCCGGAGGGCUGGGUGUGGCAAAGACAGAGAAAGACAUCCGUGAAAUGAAAUCUCAUCGAUAUGGCUGCCUAAACAAGACCCGAACAAUGACAACACCAGUCGGCAAGCCAACGUGAAUGGGGAAAUCUCACAGGACCCCACCCUUAGGUGAAGAGCUAUAGGCAACCAAUAACUACUGAGAAAGAUGUAGUCUCUCCAGAGAUGAGGCCCUGAUUGGCUGUCCAAUACCACAUGGUCAGACUUUACAAUGUAUACAAACAUGCAGCAUUAAGAGAACUCAACAGGUUGUAUUUAUCUACUUGUUUAUAUAUGUAUAUGUAAAAUAAUAAAGAGAAGAAACCUGUGAACGGGGUGGAAUGGGACACGGAAGGAGCUUAAGAAGAGAUUCAACAGGGGAGAUUAUAUAACUACAGUAAUUUAUAUGAAACUAAAAAUAAGAAAUUUAAUUCAAGUUGUUUUUUUCUUUUUUUUUGGUUUUGGUUUUGGUUUUCCGAGACAGGGUUUCUUAGUAGCUAUGGAGCCAGUCCUGGAACUCACUCUGUAGACCAGGCUGGUCUCAAACUCACAGAGAUCUGUUUGCCUCUGCCUCCCAAGUGCUGGGAUUAAAGGCGUGCGCCACCACCCUCCAGCUAAUUCAAUUUCCAAAAUCUUUUGAAAGAGGUGUUUUAAUUCCAUCCUGCUAGACCCACUGGGAUAUUUAUUUUUGAGGGGACAAAGUGCAAUUUUUCAUCUGGUAAGUUAACCUUGUAGGUCACCAGGGAAGCCAUUUACUGAAUUCUUAUAUCUUCAGAACUAAAAUACAUUCUUUUUAUUGCUAUUUCUUUGUAUAGAGUAAAUCAGGGGUCUGGGAUGUGGCUCAGUUAGUAGAGUACUUGCCUAAUGUGUACGAAACCAUGAGUGUAACCCCUCAACAACACAUCAGUUAGGAGUGCUGGGGGAAGAUCAAGGUCAUUCUUGGCUAUCUAAUGAGUUCAAGGACAGCCCAAGCUACAUGAGAUCCUAUCUCAAAGUAAAAAUUAAAUUAAAUUAAAAACAGUACAACUUAGUAAUUGCCAAAAAUUUGCCUU